rnacentral:rRNA from 1 species
UACGGAGGGUCCGAGCGUUAUCCGGAAUCAUUGGGUUUAAAGGGUCCGCAGGCGGGCCGAUAAGUCAGAGGUGAAAGCCCACGGCUCAACCGUGGAACUGCCUUUGAUACUGUCGGUCUUGAGUCACGGUGGAGUGGUUGGAAUGUGUGGUGUAGCGGUGAAAUGCAUAGAUAUCACACAGAACACCGAUCGCGAAGGCAGAUCACUAACCGUGCACUGACGCUCAUGGACGAAAGCGUGGGGAGCGAACAGG